rnacentral:rRNA from 1 species
GACGAACGCUGGCGGCGUGCUUAACACAUGCAAGUCGAACGGAAAGGCCCUGCUUUUGUGGGGUGCUCGAGUGGCGAACGGGUGAGUAACACGUGAGUAACCUGCCCUUGACUUUGGGAUAACUUCAGGAAACUGGGGCUAAUACCGGAUAGGAGCUCCUGCUGCAUGGUGGGGGUUGGAAAGUUUCGGCGGUUGGGGAUGGACUCGCGGCUUAUCCGCUUGUUGGUGGGGUAGUGGCUUACCAAGGCUUUGACGGGUAGCCGGCCUGAGAGGGUGACCGGCCACAUUGGGACUGAGAUACGGCCCAGACUCCUACGGGAGGCAGCAGUGGGGAAUAUUGUACAAUGGGCGGAAGCCUGAUGCAGCAACGCCGCGUGCGGGAUGACGGCCUUCGGGUUGUAAACCGCUUUCGCCUGUGACGAAGCGUGAGUGACGGUAAUGGGUAAAGAAGCACCGGCUAACUACGUG